rnacentral:lncRNA from 9 species
GGCAGGUCACUAUAUUAUGGGGACGUGCACAGUCCUAGGGACAGAUUCCCAUGACAAGGAGCUGAGGCCCUACAAAGAACAGGUAGGAAACUGCUGGCCUGUGAGGGAGCCAUUGUGGAAAUGGACCUUCUAGCCCUAGUCAGGCAGGUAUCUUAUCUGCAGUUUCCUGAGACCUGAGUCAGAACCAUGCAGUUAAACCAGUCUUGAAUUCCUGGAAAGUAUGUGAGAUAAUACCCUGAGUUGUUGUUUCAAGCCAUUAAUGUCAAGGGUAAUUUGCUAUGCAGUGAUAGAUAACUAACACAAAAAGCAAGGCUAUUUCACAUAAAAGUCCAGCUGGCUGGUGUCUUUUGAAAAUCAAGAUUGGGGAGUUCCCAUUGAGGCUUAGUGGGUUAAGAACCCAACAUAGUGUCCAUAGGAUGUGGGUUCAAUCCCUGGCUUUGCUCAAUGGGUUAAGGAUUUGGCAUUGCCGCAAGCUGUGGCGUAGGUUGCAGAGGCAGCUCGGAUUGGGUGUUACAUGGCUGUGGCAUAGGCCUCAGCUGCAGCCCAGUUUUAUCCUAGCUUGGGAGCUUCCAUAUGCUGCAGGUGUGGCCAUGAGAAGAAAACAAAAGAAGGGAGGAAGGGAUGGGAAGGGAAGGAAAGGGAAAGAGAAAGAAGGAAGAAGGAAGGAAAGAAGGAAAGAGAGAGAGAAAAGGAAGAAGGAAAGGAAAAGAAAGAAAGGAAGAAAAUCAAGGUUGGAAAGCAUUGAGCUGGUUUCCUGCAUGGCCAUAACUGUCUGGAGACAAAUGAGUAGGGUGAAUCAGCUUCUGGAAGCACAGAGGGGUUGAAAUGGGAAAGUCACAGCCUUUCAACUUGAAACCUGCCUUAUCACCACUUCAUGGGCAGGAAGAUUGAAGCUUAGAGAGGUAAGUCUUUUUGUCCUGUUAACCUAAGACAAUAAAACAGUUAUUUUUUUUUCCCAGUGAAAUGGGUUUAUUCCAGAGUUGCAAAGAAUUGCAUUUUGGAAUGUACAACUAUGGCAAACCACAGGCAAGUCUGGUAAACCAAAAGAGAAGAAAUGAAGUAGGAGGUAGAUGGGCCCCUGGGCUGAGAAGAACAGGGACUUGUUAGGCCAUGUAAAUUGGGCCUUGCUUCUCUUUGACACAUCAGGGAAAAAGUUAAUGGCAGGAGCUGAGCUCUGCUGGAGUAAAAACUUAAGAUGACCACAUCAAUCACUUCUGGGGUCAAGGCGAUCUCCCCAAUUACACAUGUGCAGUGAGACUCCUCAGGGUCAAAGAGGGAGGGGGAUACCAGGCCAUCAUAAGUCCUUCCACUGUCCCAGCACCCUUUGCUCUGGACUCCAUCUUUACCAAAAAUGCACACACAUCGGGGAGGGUUCUGUGUCCAGUCAAGUGUGAGAAAUAAAACAAGGUAAUUGGCUAAAGGUAAACAAAGACCCGGAAGAACUAUCCUAUAUAAGUGAGUUAAAUAACUUCCCUGGUAUGAUUCUCAUUGAGGGGGAUUCCCACAUCUGCACUCCUCUUUAGGGUGUGUAUUACUUCUUUGCUUCUAACUUAAAUAAACUUCUCUGUGUGCUCUCCCACAUGCUGUAUUGUGUCGCUAAUAAUAAGCUUUAUACCUAUUUUCACAGUCUUUGCCUCCUUGAAACAUUCUUGCUUUCCACAGGGGGCAAGAAUCAGGGCAAUUCUGCGUCUAGCCUCUAGGUGGUCUAGUGACUAGGACUCAUGGUUUUCAUCCAGGCUGCCUAGGUUCAAUUCCUGAGCAGAAAACUGAGAUCUCCAUCCAAGGCAUCACUCACUGCUGUCUCUCCAAGAUCAGAAGCACUUUUAUAGAGAAGAAGGGGAAAUUAGCAGGGGGUGUUGUGAACAAAAAGUCUAUUAGAGGAAAUUCAGAUUUUGAAAUAUUGUGGCUUUCCAUUGGCUGAGCUGUUGCCAGGCAAGUAGAAAAUCUUUCUCCUGUUGUUAGUCGUAAUGUCACUUCCUGCAGGAGAUGCAAGGUACUCUCCCUUCCUGUUGGGAUCUAUAGUAACAUUGAAUGAGAGGAUUUCCCACUAUGGUGCAAUGGGACACAGGUUCAAUCCCUGGCCUGGAACAGUGUGUUAAAGGAGCCAGUGUGGGUGCAGCUAGGGUGUAGGUUCAGAUCUGAUUUUUGGGAACUCCAUAUGCCACAGGGUGGCCAAAAAAGGAAAUGAAAACCAAACAAAACAUUGAAAUCUCCUUUGGUCUGUCAAAAUUAGUAAAAGGAAAUUAAAAUGGAGUCAGGAGGCCAGAGGUGGAGCUUUCGAUGCUUCCUGACUUCAUUUUAGUGAGGUUUUCUUUUAUUAAUUUUCAUAGUCCAAGGUUACAUGGAAAUUAAAUAGCAG